rnacentral:misc_RNA from 1 species
GAUGAAGAACGUAGCGAAAUGCGAUACUUGGUGUGAAUUGCAGAAUCCCGCGAAUCAUCGAGUUUUUGAACGCAAGUUGCGCCCGAAGCCAUUCGGCCGAGGGCACGUCUGCCUGGGUGUCACGCAUCGUUGCCCCCCCAAACUCCGGUUCGGGCAGGGCGGAAGUUGGCCUCCCGUGCGUGCCUGCGCGCGCGGUUAGCCCAAAAGCGAGUCCUCGGCGACGAGCGCCACGACAAUCGGUGGUUUUUUUACCCUCGUUCCUCGUCGUGCGUGCCCCGUCGCCCGAACGCGCUCUUGCGACCCUUACGCGUCGCCUCGGCGGCGCUCCCAACGCGACCCCAGGUCAGGCGGGACUACCCGCUGAGUUUAAGCAUAUCAAUAAGCGGAGGA